rnacentral:lncRNA from 1 species
UCUCGCGCGUGGAGUACUUCCCUUUCUUCUCUCAUGCGGUAGCAACUCGGAGGCGCCGUGGGCGGUUCAAGAUCCGGACGAACUCGGCAGGACAACGGCGUUCUCCGGCGUCCCUCUCCACCGUCGACGGUUAUUAUCGCCAGUAAGACCACCCUCCUCCUAAUCUUCCCCUAUCCUCCUCCAUGAACUUCUGAAUUUCUGGGGUUAGGGUUAUUGGUUUUUGGGAGCGGUGUGGGGAAAGAGGAAGAAAACCAAGAAAGGAAAGGAGAGGAAAAUGAGAAGCUCUGGUGAUGGAGGUAAUUCUGGAGAAGGGCUCCUGGUGGUGGGAUCAAUUCAAGGAGGAGGUGGAUAUCAUAGCGGAGGAGAUGAUGGAUGACAUAGAAGAAGAGGAGGAGCUCAAGGCUAUGGAGAAAAAGGAACAACAGUAGAGUAUCAGACUUCGAUCUAGCUGAGGUCAACUUUUGUUUUCACGGGACAUGUGAUCCUCUCUCUGAUUUUGCUUUUGUCUAAAUUUCAUGAAUUUUAAUCCUGAAGUAAAAAAUGAUGGUUCUGACUUAAUUGACUGUUAGUGCUGAUGUACAUAAAGAAUCCGCCUGUACCUAGCUGACAAUGCUAAUUCUCUGUAAAUUUUUGUUAAUCGAAAUUUGCACAUACAUACGAGCAAUAUUUCUUCAAUUAAAGAAUAUUCACCUUACGAGGAUUUUUGUUGUAUGCUAUUCUUAAGAUAAGAUUUGUAUGGGUGAUGCUAGCUUUAUGUUUUGUGAAUUUAUUAGGCAAACCAAUAAUUGAAAUUCUGCCAAGAAAUCUAGGAGCAGAAGAAGAUGUAUGCAAGGGACUUGGAGACAAGGCAAUGGUGCGCAGGUGCGAAAAUUAUUGUUCUAAUUGGUUAGGAUUGGGGUUCAACUGCUCUUCAGCUUAUUAUAUCAAAGUCGGUUGCAUCAGUCACUUCAGGGGAUGGUCAUGUGCGCUAGGAAAUUAGCUUGAUUUGAAGAUACUACAAUCAAGCUUGAUUUGAAGAUACUACAAUCAGGAGACUAUGCAGUUACCUAAUUGGAAUUCACAACCAGUGCCUCUGGCAAUUUCAACAAAUCUAGGAUUCAGUAUAAAGCAAACAAAUUUUUUUGUUAGCAAACAUUGUUGUAUUUUGGAGUUUAUUAAGCCGUCGACAGAAAAUGAAU